GGUAGGAGCUGCCGGAGGCUGCGAUCUUUUGAUCUUGGUUUUAUCAAAUCAAAAGAUCGCAGCCUUCGGCAGCUCCUACA
rnacentral:antisense_RNA from 1 species